rnacentral:rRNA from 1 species
CAAUAGCAUAUAUUAACGUUGUUGCAGUUGAAAAGCUCGUAGUUGAACUUUUGGUAGGAGCGACCUGGCCUUGGGCGCAUGCCCUUGUUUGCCGUGUGUCGUAUCUGGCCAUCCUUUUCCGCUUCGGCGGGAAUCUUUUACUGUGAGUAAACUGGAGUGCUCAAAACAAGACGUUUGUUUGGUACAUUAAAGCAUGGAAUAAUAAGAUAGGACCUGGUUACUAUUUUGUUGGUUUGCAUAGCUAGGUAAUGAUUAACAGGGACAGUUGGGGGUAUUCGUAUUUAAUUGUCAGAGGUGAAAUUCUUGGAUUUAUGAAAGACGAACGACUGCGAAAGCAUUUACCAAGGAUGUUUNCAUUA